CUUGAACAGUGCAGUCCAUGGGCACCAGGCUAGGACACCGCACCUCCCAAACCCUGGGCAGCGCAGUGUAUACUCCCCUCGUUCAGUCCGGCUGCCGACGUGGAGUGCUGUUCUCCUGGCUAGUUCUAUUUAAGGGAGACAACUAGCUUCAUACAAGAUUAACGCAUCAGGAUAACUAAAAAGGCAAAGUCUGAUUAAGACUUUCCUUUAGGUCCCAAUAGUCCCAAACGGAGACUACCACUUUCUUGGCUCUUGACUGAUUGUUCUCCCAAGGGAAAGGCAUAUUUUGACUCUCAAAGUGAUCCCUUUAUGUGCAGUUUCUAAUUUGUCUGCAGAGAUAUAAAUACUUUAGAUGGCGUCUCUCCUUAUAAAGCAACUCAAAAAUUAUAUAACUGUGAAUUAAAGGGCCAUGUUUCCCUGCUUCUGUGUCCCCAUGCCCUUUGAAGACAGUGUGCUGAGGAGGCACAGAGAGACCUUCUGCCUUGGCCAGAGCACCAGUGAAAGUAACACUCAUUUAAUGGAGGCUAUAAUAGCCUAUUUCUACAUCAGUUUUUCUUCUAUUUAGAAAAGUUUCUUCUCUCACUAUCAAAAGUAAACUAUCUGUUAAGAAGUAUUUAAUUACUAUAGGAGUUUCCUUCAGCUAGAUCAGUGCAGAGAAAAGCCAAGAUAAACCAAGAUAAAUCCAUUUUAAAAUGCCUUAUUGAAAACCAGAUUUCCUACUUCUUCAGAGACUAGCUGGAAAAUAACCAUUAGGAUAAUUUACUUGCCUUAUUUUCUCUUUCAUUCAUAUGUGAACAGGACACCUAGCUCUUCCUGAGCAUUUUAGAAGCCUCCGUGGCCUUCAAAUCUGGUGCAUUGGUGACCUCUAGAGGACAGAAUCUCAUUCCAGACUCAAUAUUAAGGUUAAAGAAUCCAGUGCUCUGGGGAGAAUGUGAAUACAUUAUCAAUAUUGCAGCUGCAAAAUAGCUUUGGGCUCUCACAGGCACAAGAAGCUUCAAGAAAUUAUCUUCCUCCAGACUGAGAAGGCAAACAUGUCUUCCUAGAACGAUAUGGGAAAAGAUAAAGUAAGCAGGAGGAAACAAGGAUCUGGCUUACAGAUGCAGUACUACUUCUUCAUACAGAAGAAUAUAGAACUGGGAAUUUUUCAAUCAAGUUGCAGAUUGCAAGGAACCUAGAGACCAGAGUACAGAAAGACAAGCCUCCGGAGUCUUCCCAUUGGAAGAAAGAACAAUGCAAAGUCUUUACAGUGACCUGGAGGCCUGCAGGAUUGGAGAUCCCCCACCCUCACCUCAACACCUGCCCAUGUCAUCCGCUUGUUUCUCUUUCAAGCUCUUUGCUCUCCCACACUGGUCUUGCUAUUCCUAGAGCACUCCAGACAUGUUCUAGCCUCAAGGUUUUGCAUUGUUUUCUUUUUCUGACUUCAAAGGACCUUCCCCUGACUAUAUAAUCCACUUCCUUACCUGCUCAAAUGUUACCUUAUCAGUGAACCCUUCCAAACAAUCUUGUUAAAAAUUACAACCAUCACCCUGUUCAAUUUUCUUCAUAACACUUGACUAUCAGACAUAAUAUAUACUUUUUCUUAUUUAUUUAUUAUUUGUUUCCCCUCACUACAAUGAAAGCUCUAUGUGGAAAGGGUGUUUUUGUUUUGUUGUUUGUUUGUUUUUUUGUCUAUUUUGUUCAUUGCUUAAUCUCCAGUGUCUGGAACAGGACCUGGCACCUAAUAGGCUCUCAAUACACACAGAAUUAUUUGUUGAAGUAAUAAGCAUUGAGUACUCAACGAAUGUUACAUAUUAACUGUAAGUUCCUUUCAACUAGAUAGUAAAAAGUAAAUAUUAGUUCAACUAUAGCUGUUAGUCCAAUUAGUUUUUUUAUAUUUAAUAUAUUAUGUUGAGCCAUAUGAAAUUUGAGUAAUAACAAUAAAAUACAGACAAUUGCAUAUAGUUCAACUUAGUAAUGACAUCCUAAUCUCUACCUCCAUGUUCAGACUUAGAGCUUUCCAUCUAAUUUGAUCUUCCCAAUUUAGCAAGAGGCAUCUAUUAGAAGUGCAAGUCUGGCCAUGUCAGUCCAGCCUAAACAUUCCAAUAGCCUACCACUGCUUUUGGGAUUCAGAUCAAAAUGCCUCAACAUGACCUAAGGGCCCUCAAAGAGGCUGGAGAUUUAUCCUACAGAUCACCCUCCUUCUUCAUCUGGCUUCCAAGCACACCAGCCUUCUAUCGCUUCCAGUGGUGCAUCGUGUUUCUUCCUGCCAAACACCUUUUCUUCCUCCUAAAACUGUGAGCCACCACCCCCCCAUCUCUUUUACCACAAACCACCUUCAACCUUCAAUUAUAUACCUCUUUCUUUUCUCCAGAUAUCAGCUCAGUUAUCAAUUCCACAGGGCUGGACAGGACUCAAAAAAUAUUUGUUGAAUGAAGGGUAAAAAAAUGAAUGAAUAAGUAAAUGAUGACUGUAACUCACCCGUCCAAUGUGCGUUUCUAUUUUAUGUUUUAAGCUUGGCUCAUAAUGCUAUUUGGAAUAAGGGUCCUAGUAACCGCAUCAAUAUUCAAGGAGACUUGGGGCUCCCUUGGAACCCCAGCAGUCCAUGCUUGUUAGUAUUUGGCUAAACUGAUAUGCAUAAACUAAAAAAAAAUUACUCUAUCCUUUAAUUCACUUGACUACCUACACAGGAACCACCAUUUUAUUUACUAACCUUAUGCUUUGGCCAUUUAUUUCCUGAAAGCUUAAUUAGGAAAUGUUCAAUAUACUGGCAAGGUUUUUUAUGUCUUAACCUAUGCUCAACUCUAUGUCAGAACUUCUCCAAGCAGAGAAGAUUUAGACACAGUUACAAACUCAAAUGCCUACAAGAAUGAAGCAGAAGUUUUUGUUCAUCUUCUCAACAUCCUUCUGCCUUUCUGAUGGAAGCCCAACUAGGUCCAGAUAUAUACGUUCCUCCAGGUAUAAUUCAGUUGUUUUUAGUAUAUUCAAAACGCUGUGCAACCGUCAUUAUUAUCUAAUUCCAGAACAUUAUCAUCACUUCAAAAGAAACCCCACACCCAUUAGUAGUUGCUCUCUACUUCCUCUUCCCCUAGUCCCUCGCAGCCAUUAAUCUACUUUCUGUCUCUAGAGAUUUGCCUAUUCUGGGAAUUUCAUAUAAAUGAAAUCAAACAUGAUAUUUUGUGACUGGCUUUUUUCACUUAGCAUAAUGUCUUCAAGAUUCAUCCAUGUCAUAAUAUGUAUCAAUACUUCAUUGCUUCAUAUUGCCAAAUAAUAGUCUGGUGUUUGGAUACAUCACAUUUUAUUUAUCCAUUCAUGUUCAGUUAAUAAACAUUCAGACUGUUUCUACAUUUUAACUAUUUUGUUUAAUGCUGCUGCAAACACUUUUGUACACACUUGGUGUGAAUAAAAGUUUUACUUCCCUUGGGUAAAUACCUAGAAGGGUUUUGGUUUUUACUCUGAGUGAGACUGUACAUCACAGAAAGUUUUGAGCAGAGAAAUAAUUUUGAAAGAACUAUCCUGGAUUCUAUGUUAAGAAUAGAUUGCAGGCUGGGUGUGGUGGCUCACGCCUGUAAUCCCAGCACUUUAGGAGGCCGAGGUGGGCGGAUCACAAGGUCAGGGGUUUGAGACCAGCCUGAUCAACGUAGUGAAACCCCGCCUCUACUAAACAUACAAAAAAUUAGCUGGGCAUGGUGGCGGGCGCCUGUAAUCCCAACUACUCAGGAGGCUGAGGCAGGAGAAUUGCUUGAAACCGUAAGGCUGCAGUGAGCUGAGAUCACACCACAGCACUCCAGCUUUGGUGACAGAAUAAGACUCCAUCUCAAAAAAAAAAACAAAAAAAAAAGAAUAGACUGUGAUUGGAAAACGAUGGAAUCAAGGGAAUCAGUUUGAUGCUAUUUAAGUGAGCCAGAUAAAGAUAACUUAGACCAGACAUAUAGCAGUAGAGGUAGUGAGAGAUGAUUACAUUCUGCAAAUAUACUGCAGGUGGAGCUAACCAGAUUUCCAGAUAGGUUGGAUGUGGAAUGUGAGUGGAAAUGAGUAGCCAAGGAAGAUUCCAAGGUCUUUGUCCUGAAGAACUCAAAAAGUAGCAGUGCCAUUUAUUGAAAGGGAAAAUAUUGGGAUAGGAGCAGGACUGAAAGAGAAGAUCGAGAGUUUGGGGUUGGUUGUUCAGUAGCUACCCAAGGAGACAUUUGGGGUUCAUAGUUAGAUCUGCAGUUUGGAGAGGGCUGUGUAUGAGCUGAAGAUACAUGUGUUAGAAGUCAGUAUAUAGGUGGUAUAUAAAAUAUAAUCAUCUCUGAUCCUUUUAAACCUGGGUCUCAUUCCUUCCUCCACCCCUCCAACCUUCUGUGGGCCCAGCUGCUUGUUUCUCUGGCAAAUUCCCCAGCUGUAUAAGAAAAUGCCCUCAAAGUGUUAGUUCAUCUGUUCUUGGGCAUAAAUGACCACAUGGAAGCAAAAAUGCUAUGACCUCAAUGCUCUUGUCUCGUCCAGCAUGGAGGAUAUUUUGUCUUUUCUACAAGCCUUUUUCAAUUCCAGCCCUGGUCAGCACUCAGUGUCACUGGCUAGAACCUUCCCUCAUUGAAUUCUUAACACCUCCAAUGGUCCAUUAAUUCUUUGAGGGCAGACACUGCAGUAUGGUCUGUGCUUCAGUCCCCCCUGCUAUUGUAACAAAUUAUCAUACUUAGUGACUUAAAUCAACAAAAACUUAUUUUAUAGGUCUGGAGGUUAGGAGCAUGAAAUCAGUCUCACUGGGCUAAAACUGAGGUAUUGGCAGGACUGUUGCUUUCUAGAGGUUCUAAGGAAUAAUUCAUUACCUCGUGUUUUCUAGCUUCUAGACACUACCUGCAUUCUUUGGUUCAUGGUCUCAUUUCUUCAUCUUCAAAGCCAACAACUCCAGGCCAAUCUUCUUUUCAUGCUGCAAUCUGUUUUGUUCUCCCUCUUCCGCUUCCUCCUUACUCUAAAAAGCACGCUUGUGAUUAUAUUGGGCCCAGCUGGAUAAUCCAGGAUAAUCUUCUUAUUUCAGUGUCAGCUGAUUGGCAACCUUAAUUCAUCUGCAACUCUGAUUCCCCUUUGCCAUACAAUCUAACAUAUUCACCAGUUCCUGGGAAUAGAAUGUGGACAUUUCGGGAAGCCAUUUUUUUUCUAACUACCAGAGUCUGAAAUCUAUAGCUCCUAGCAUAAUGCUUAGGGCAUGCCAGCACUCAAAAAAUGCAAAUGAAUGAAUGAAUGCAUCUCUCAGUGCCUACAGCUGGGUGUUUUCCUCCCAGAAAAUAGCCUACUGUUAUUAAUUAUAUUCCUGCCUACUCCAUUUUUAAUGGGAUGUAGGGGAAGGAAAAGAGAUGGAAAGCAGUUCUGAAGAGUUUUUACAUUAGCAUCUCCUUGGAUAUUGGUAGAUGAAAGGAAUAGAAAACCUUACAGGAAUAAAACAUUUAAUCCUCAAUCCUAAAAAAAUCUUACCUGUAGCUUACAGUAUGAAACCUACUCUUGUCGUAAGGGCAUGUGACUCUUAAGCAGUCCAGAGAAUUAAAACAGUUUGAUCUUCUCAUCAACACUAAUGUUAAAAAUAAUUUUAGUGUAUUUUGCCAAGGCUCUACAUAGGUAUCAAAACCAGGCCAUCAAAGCAGUGAGAGCCAACCAGCAAAAUUUCUUGAUCUCUCUAUCCUUGUAGAACUCUGCCUUUCCCCAUUACACUUUAUUUUUUUAUUAUUUCUUUGUUACCCCUAAUUAGUUCAUGAGCUUCAUACAAAUAGCCCCUCAGCUCAUUUGCCAAACUCAUUAUUGUGACUCUAGACUUGGUGCAUAGUAGAUAUUUCCCAGUCAGUGAAUGACUUUGCUAAAUUACUACUCACAAUGUACACAUGGAAUCACAGGCAGCUUUCUCAUCAUCAAUGCUUUCAUCUUGAGAUCUUGGAGACUCAACUUUCUUUAUGGUUCACUUAGGACAUUUCUGAAUAUUUCCAUUUCACUCAUUCUUCAGAUAUUGACCUCUCAAUUGUCUUGAAAAGACAGUUAUUUGCCAAUUAAGUCAGCAAACUGUUCUAUGCCCCAUAUAAUGAAAUAAGAACAUUGCAUAUUACCACUGUGAUUGUGUUACUGGCAAAGUCAUGGAAGUAGAAAUUUCCCUUCUCUGUAACUUGAGGUUGAGUCUUCACAAAAGAAACAUUUGUGGGUGUCAUAUGAGAACAUGUUGUAAGCACAAGUUAUAAAUUGGGUUCAUUUGAUUUUGAGUCAGUUUUUUAAAUCUAACUCCCUUGAAUUUGUGAGUAAUCUUGUGCAAUUAUUAAGAAUAUGAUUCAUUCUGAAAAUCAAUUGCAAAUACUUUGUACUUUCAAAGAUGAGCUGUUUGUCAUGAUAGAAAACUAAUUUUUCAAGCAGUGGUUUAUAGAACCACAGAAUUUCCUCAGAAUUGUUGGGAAUACUAUUUAUGGGAAACAUGUAAAGUGUUUUAUCAAAUCCCACCCCAACAUGGCAUGAAGAGCUUUGGUUCCAGGACAUGAAAAAAAAAUUGUUUUAAAAUUUCAAGGUGCAGGCCAGGCAUGGUGGCUCAUGCAUGCAAUCCCAGCACUUUGGGAGGCUGAGAGGCAAGAUGAUCACUGGGACUCAGGAGUUUGAGACUAGCCCGGCCAAUGUGGUAAAAUACCGUCUCUACUAAAAAUACAAAAAUUAUUGGGGGUGUGGUGGUGCAUGCCUGUUGUUCUAGCUAUUUGGGAGGCUGAGGCAAGAGAAUCGCUUGAACCCAGGAGGUGAAGGUUGCAGUGAGCCGAGAUGUGCCAUUGCACUCCAACCUGGGAGACAAGAGUGAGACUCCGUCUCAAAAAAUAAAUAAAUAAAAUUUAAAAAUAAAUUUAAAAAAAUUAAAGGUGCAGAGCACAUUAAAAGGAAAGAAUAUAUUUAGUGGACGUGAACUGUCUUACUGGCAAAUACUGCUUAUCACUUCAGGACAGUUCACCAGGUAGCUUAGAAUAAAAAGAUUCUAAGUGUUGGAGAUGAAACAGUAAAGAACAAAAAUAGCAGACAUACAUUUCUGCUCUCACAGUUAUAACCUAGCAGAGAACAAAAGACAAAAAAUAAACAAUAAAAAUCUAUUAUGUGAUAAAGUAGAAAGCAAUAAGCACUAGGGAAAAAUCAGAGAAGAGAGAUAGAAAAGGCUGAAAGAGUUCAUUCCCUUUUAUUGCAGAGUAGCAUUUCACCAUAUGGGUACCCCUCAGUUUGUUUAUCCAUUUACCCAAGGAAGGACAUUUGGGGUUGUUUCCAAUUUGGGGCUAUUACAGUACAAAUAAAGCUUUUACGAACAUUUGUGAACAGGCUUUUGUGUGGAUAUAAGUUUUAAUUGCACUAGAAUAAAUACCCUGGGGUCAAUUACUGAGUCAUAUGGUAAGUAUAUGUAUAAACUUGUCAAAAAUACUGCCAAACUGUUUUCAGGGUGGCUGUUCCAUUUUACAUUCACACCACCAAUGAAUGAAAGAUCAGUUGCUCUGAAUCUUUGCUGGAACUUAGUAUUGCCAGUACUUUUUAUCUUAGUCAUUCUAAUAGGUAUGUAGUAGUAUUUUGUUGUGGCAUUAAUUAGCCAAUUCCUAAUGACUGAUAAUGUUAAACCUUUUCACGGGCCAUCUAUACAUCCUCAUUGGUAAAGUGUCGUUCAAGUGUUUUUGCCCAUCUUCUAAUUGAGUUAUUAUUGAGUUCAGAUAGCUUUUUAAAAUAUAUUCUGGAUACAAGUUCUCUGUCACAUAAUAUAAUUGGGAAAUAUUUCUCCCCAUCUUUCACUUGCCCUUUCAUUCUUCAAACAGGAUCUUUUUCAGAGCAAAAGUUUUUUAAUUUGUAUAAAGUCCAAUUUAUUUAAUUUGUAUAAAGUCCAAUUAAUUUAAUUUAUUUUUUAAUGAAUCAUGUUUUUGGUAUCAUGUCUAAGAACUCUUUGAUUAACUCUGGGUCAUGAAAGUUUUCUCCUAUUUUUUUCCUAAAAGUUUUAUAGAUUUACAUGUUGCAUUUAGGUCUCUGAUCAAUUUUGAGUUAAUUAUUACAUACAAUGUAGGUUUUAAGUUGAGGCUCAUUAUUGUGCCAGUGAAUACCCAAUGUUUCUAAUGUCAUCUUUUGAGAAGACCACCCAUUCUUCAUUGAAUUGCUUUUGCAUCUCUUGGUCAUACUUACGUAGUUCUAUUUCUAGACUUUCAAUUUUCUUCCAUAUCACAUUGUGUUUCAAUUAUUGAAUUUCUUAUUUCUCUGUUUCUCACUGGACUUGAAAGUAGGAUUGUGUUUUUCUCAAUUCUGUUUCCAGGGCGUUUAGCACAAUGUCUGGCCCACAGUAAAUACAGAGUGAAUAAAAGUUUAUUAAGUGAAUAAAAGAAAUUUGGCUCUUUGGGCUUUUAUAUGUGAUGAUUCAGCUAAUCAGCUUACAUUUUUGAGAUGAAAUAAAAAAAUUUGCUCUGACUUAUUCGUUAUCUUCUUUAGUAUUUAUUCAGUGUUCAUCUGUUCACAUCAUUUCAUAGCUUUUUGAAUCAAUCAAGACAGUACUAGAUUUUGUAUAAUAUGUAUACAGACGAACAUACUCUUAAGAAAAAUACAAUGUGAGAUAUGGUCCUUUUUCUUAAGGAAAUUGCAUCUUACAGUAUAGCAUAGUAGUGGCAAGCAGGAACUUCAUGGCCAAGCAAAACUGAGAUGCAUCCUACAUAGCCACUUACUAGCUUUGUGACCUUGGACAGGAUAUUUAAUUUUUAAAGCCUUAAGUAACCAGUUGGGCCACUUGUGAUGACAACAGCAUAUAUUUUGUAGGGAUGUUGCAAAGAUUUAAUCCAAUAAGGGCACAGUGCCCUCCUAGCCUUUAAUAAAGCCUUAAUAAAUGCCAGUCUCCAUUACUUAUUUCCAUGUAUUAAGUCUAAAUAGAAAUCUUUCUCACAGAUAAUAUUGCUGUAGCCAAAGUAGAGUUCUUUGAGGAAGACUUGACUGGGUUCCAGCAAAAUGAAUUAAGAAAACAUCCCUGUAACAUGUUGCAGCCUAAGUCAAAAUUACAAAUUUAUUUCAAAACCACUUUAUGGUCAAUGGCACUUCUGGGUUCUAGCUAAAUUACGAAAUCUGAUAUAAAAAGCAUGGAAAAUUUUCAAAUCAACAGUAAGUUCGUUUUUCAGAAUUGCAUCAGUAGACACAGAAGUAUUCACCCAAUAAAAAGAAGUUGCUAACUUGGCAGGCUGCAAUUUGAUUACAGAGGACUGGCCAUCCUAAAAAGUUAAAUAAAACUUUCUUCUGCUCUCAAGAAACCAUUUAUGCUUUGCAACAAAAUGGUCCUUUUUUUUUUUUUUUUUUUUUUUUUUUUUAGAUGGAGUUUUGCUCUUGUUGCCCAGGCUAGAGUGCAGGGUGCAAUCUUGGCUCACUGCAACCUCUGCCUCCUGGGUUCAUGAGAUUCUUCUACCUCAGCCUCUUGAGUAGCUGAGAUUACAGGCGCACACCACGACACCCAGAUAAAUUUUGUAUUUUUAGUAGAGACGAGAUUUUAUCAUGUUGGCCAGGCUGGUCUUGAACUCCUAACCUCAGGUGAUCCUCCCGCCUCGGCCUCCCAAAGUGCUGGGAUUACAGGUGUGAGUCACCACGCCCAGCCUGGAAUGGUACUUUUAAGGAAAUGACACCCUUCGCAAUCUUUAAUCCCAUCUCUUUACACAUCCUAAUGGGCUGUAAUUUUCUAUUGUUCUGUGCUUCCUGUGAAGACAUUACUCUAAGUGCCAAUUAUAAACAAACAAAUAAAUAAAUCUUCAAAGUUUUAAAAUAUUUUUCACCCCUCAUGAACAUCCAGUAUGUUCAUUAUUUCUGUACUUCCAGAGUUAGUAAUGGAUGAAGUGACAGUGAAAUAGAGUUCUGGCGCUUCAAAGUUCUAAUUACAAUGCAGUUGUGAUAGGCAAGGAGGGCGGGGAAGUGCUAGGAGAACGGCAGGUCCCUGGUGAGGGCUCCACCCCCGGGCCUGUGCCCACGGACCUAGGUGAGGACAGGUACUCCUGCCUUGGAAUCCAAAUAAAUGUUGCAUUUCCCAAGACCACCCUGGCCCGCCAUGCCCCAUUCUGUGUCUACAAACCCCCGCAGAGACCUUAACAGGCCGACACACAAGUGGCUGGACUUUGAGAGGACGUCUAGGGGAGCAUGCUGGUGGAAGAGCACACCGACAGACGCCAGCAGGCCAUCCACCAGCAGAACAACUCGAGUUUGGCUGGGGCAGUGGGAAGAGAGCCCAGGCCACGGAGCAGCCCGGCUCCAGGGUAAAACCAUCUGCCUACCAGCUCCCCCAUCUGCUGAGACCUACUUCCACUCAAUAAAACCUUGCAAUCACUCUCCAAGACCACUUGUGAUCCGAUUCUUCCGGUAUACCUAGGCAAGAACCUGGGAUACAGAAAGCCCUCUGUCCUUGCAACAAGGUAUUGUCUAAUUGCGCUGGUUAACACAAGCCGCCUAUAGAUGGCAAAACUAAAAAAGCACCCUGUAACACACUCCCACUGGGGCUUCAGGAGCUGUAAACAUCCACCCCUAGACGCUGCCGUGGGGUCAGAGCCCCAGAGCCUCCCUGUCUGUAUGCUCCCCUAGAGCAGCGGGGCACUGAAGAAGCGAGCCACUUCCCUUCUCACAAGUCCUGCGAGGGGAACAAGGGAACGUUUCCCAUUUCUGUUGGAGGUGGUGGGUGAGUUGGAGAGAGCAGCAACUCUCUGCUAGCUUCUGAGAACUGCUGUUCGUAAGCAGUUGAGAUGUGCGUUUUCUGACCCCAGGUUUUCCACUGUAAAGCCAGUAAGCAUGUUCAAACAUUGCACCUUUUAGUUAACAAAAUUCUCAUUUCCAAACUACAUGUUUUGAGUGACAUUUUUGCACACACAACUUUUAACACUCACUGGAGACCACAUAGGUGUAUUGGCUGCUGAUUACCUGAAGAUAUCACCCUCAGUAAACUGUGGUCGAAGCUGAGACAAGUUUGUUGCUUACUGGAAUAAGGAAGACCAUUCCCUUGACAGUGUCUCAAUAGCAUCUGGGAGGGUGAGCAGGCAAAGACCUUCAUGAGGUCUGGGGGUCUGAUUUAAGGUGAGUCUUUCACUGGUGGAAGUAUGGGGAGGGUACUUGGUUGGGAUUGGGCAAAGGUCAUGACAAUGUUGUAAGACAGAUGAAACAAGGUGAGAUUUUGAAUGGAGUCUUGAGUAGCAGUCAGUUGUAUGGUGAGCCAUUGAGACAGCUGGCAUACUGAGAAGGGAUAAUGAGGCUAGCUGAGAGGUCUAUUCAGAAAAAAAAAAAAGGAUUUUCCAGAAGUUCCAGAAAUAAGGAAUAUUUCCUGAAUAAUUAAGAAUAAAGUUAUUCUUAAUUUAAUCUUCCUAGGCAAGAAUUUCUUGGAAUAAUAAAGUCAUAUUAUUAAAAUGACUGAGCUCUGUGGUUGCAGCUGGUUUUUGUUUUCAUGAGAGUGACACACAUAUGAUUUUGAAACUCUCUGCCUCCUGGUUUCACCAUUGGCACCUUCUGCUUCAAGAGCAUUAUUUUGUUGAUUCUUUUCUUUAGGCUGAGGCAAUGAUAUCUCCAGGAUUCUUCUCUUUAAAUAUGAUUUCUAUUGAGAGAGGUAGAAAAGUAUAUUGUUAAGAUUGUGAAAAAUUAAUCAGAAAUUAUGAAAUCAUAACCCUUCAGGGUCCUGAAAAGAAGUGUAGAGGUAAGAUUUUCAAUGAAGAAGGAAGGGAUGGGGAGCCAGCUGCCUGACUGGAUGGAGCUCCAGCAUUGCCCCAGGAGCAUGGGCUGCUGCUCUCAAGCAUGCUGUGGGCUAAGAUGCAUGACAACUGACGUGGGUUAGAAUAUGGGUACCGGGAGAUGAACUCAAAGGAAGAGGCCUCUGGGGACCUCACCUCUUUUUUCUCUAAGAAAUACUUUGUGACUCCUUUUGAAUUAUUCUCUAAAGUCAUCUCUCCUCUCCUUAUAAAAGUAUCUGGGGUUUCCCCACUAAAGGGUCUCAAGUGAACUGUGAGCUCAUGUACACACCAACUAUUUUCACUGUAGUGGAAUUUUGGAGUACACACUACAUGACAUUAAGUUAAUUAAAUAUCCACGCAAACCCAUUUGGAUAACUUAACUCAGC
rnacentral:lncRNA from 1 species